rnacentral:lncRNA from 1 species
CUUUCUUGCCGUUCACCACUCUGCAGAGUCUUGGCACAGAGAAGAGACAGGUAUGUAUCACUGAUUCUCAAAAGAGGAAAAUUAAGGAGUGUCAAAAAGAGAACGAGAGAGAAGCAGGAUGCUCUGGAGAAUGAAAGAUGCUGUACAUUCUGUAAAUCAUUUUGCUGGUUUCAAUAGAAAGUCCAGACCAAGUGGAAUAAAGUGCAUUUUGUGGGUCAGAUGUAAAAGACAGAAGAGACCUGCCCAAAGAAACAUUCCGUGGUACCAGAGGAAAUCGAGCACCAAGAGGCCUUUUUAUCCCCCCUAUACUCAAAGAUGAAAACUAGACUAGGGUCCCUUUUCAAGGUAAAAUGACAGGCAGGUCCAUUAAGCUGCUGUGAAAUUGUUCCCCAUCCUGCAAAUUCAUCCACCAGACCGGGCCCUGCAUCUUACUCAUCCUCAUGUCUCCAUUGUCUGAUAUAAGACCUGGCACAAAUUGGUACUUCCUGCUUGUUAGUGAAACUCAAUAUAUCACACAAUUAAGUACUUUUCCAUUUUAAGAUUGAACAGUAAACCUACCCUGUCUCCCUCUGUUCUCUGCUCUAACUCCUAGUUUGCUGUGGUGAUCACCCUUUAGUGUCUUAACAAGAUUCAAGGCACUGUUCACAUCCCACUAAAUUAGUUCCCUAUGGUUCCUAUAACAAAUUACUACAGACUUAGUGGCUUAAACCAACAGGGGUUUAUUAUGUUAUAGUUCUAGAGGUCAGAAAUCCAAAAUGGUUUUCAUUGGCCUAAAAUCAAGGUGUCAGCUGGGCCAU